rnacentral:rRNA from 1 species
GGUUAAGCGACUAAGCGUACACGGUGGAUGCCCUGGCAGUCAGAGGCGAUGAAGGACGUGCUAAUCUGCGAUAAGCGUCGGUAAGGUGAUAUGAACCGUUAUAACCGGCGAUUUCCGAAUGGGGAAACCCAGUGUGUUUCGACACACUAUCAUUAACUGAAUCCAUAGGUUAAUGAGGCGAACCGGGGGAACUGAAACAUCUAAGUACCCCGAGGAAAAGAAAUCAACCGAGAUUCCCCCAGUAGCGGCGAGCGAACGGGGAGCAGCCCAGAGCCUGAAUCAGUGUGUGUGUUAGUGGAAGCGUCUGGAAAGGCGCGCGAUACAGGGUGACAGCCCCGUACACAAAAAUGCACAUGCUGUGAGCUCGAUGAGUAGGGCGGGACACGUGGUAUCCUGUCUGAAUAUGGGGGGACCAUCCUCCAAGGCUAAAUACUCCUGACUGACCGAUAGUGAACCAGUACCGUGAGGGAAAGGCGAAAAGAACCCCGGCGAGGGGAGUGAAAAAGAACCUGAAACCGUGUACGUACAAGCAGUGGGAGCACGCUUAGGCGUGUGACUGCGUACCUUUUGUAUAAUGGGUCAGCGACUUAUAUUCUGUAGCAAGGUUAACCGAAUAGGGGAGCCGAAGGGAAACCGAGUCUUAACUGGGCGUUAAGUUGCAGGGUAUAGACCCGAAACCCGGUGAUCUAGCCAUGGGCAGGUUGAAGGUUGGGUAACACUAACUGGAGGACCGAACCGACUAAUGUUGAAAAAUUAGCGGAUGACUUGUGGCUGGGGGUGAAAGGCCAAUCAAACCGGGAGAUAGCUGGUUCUCCCCGAAAGCUAUUUAGGUAGCGCCUCGUGAAUUCAUCUCCGGGGGUAGAGCACUGUUUCGGCAAGGGGGUCAUCCCGACUUACCAACCCGAUGCAAACUGCGAAUACCGGAGAAUGUUAUCACGGGAGACACACGGCGGGUGCUAACGUCCGUCGUGAAGAGGGAAACAACCCAGACCGCCAGCUAAGGUCCCAAAGUCAUGGUUAAGUGGGAAACGAUGUGGGAAGGCCCAGACAGCCAGGAUGUUGGCUUAGAAGCAGCCAUCAUUUAAAGAAAGCGUAAUAGCUCACUGGUCGAGUCGGCCUGCGCGGAAGAUGUAACGGGGCUAAACCAUGCACCGAAGCUGCGGCAGCGACGCUUAUGCGUUGUUGGGUAGGGGAGCGUUCUGUAAGCCUGUGAAGGUGUGCUGUGAGGCAUGCUGGAGGUAUCAGAAGUGCGAAUGCUGACAUAAGUAACGAUAAAGCGGGUGAAAAGCCCGCUCGCCGGAAGACCAAGGGUUCCUGUCCAACGUUAAUCGGGGCAGGGUGAGUCGACCCCUAAGGCGAGGCCGAAAGGCGUAGUCGAUGGGAAACAGGUUAAUAUUCCUGUACUUGGUGUUACUGCGAAGGGGGGACGGAGAAGGCUAUGUUGACCGGGCGACGGUUGUCCCGGUUUAAGCGUGUAGGCUGGUUUUCCAGGCAAAUCCGGAAAAUCAAGGCUGAGGCGUGAUGACGAGGCACUACGGUGCUGAAGCAACAAAUGCCCUGCUUCCAGGAAAAGCCUCUAAGCAUCAGGUAACAUCAAAUCGUACCCCAAACCGACACAGGUGGUCAGGUAGAGAAUACCAAGGCGCUUGAGAGAACUCGGGUGAAGGAACUAGGCAAAAUGGUGCCGUAACUUCGGGAGAAGGCACGCUGAUAUGUAGGUGAAGUCCCUCGCGGAUGGAGCUGAAAUCAGUCGAAGAUACCAGCUGGCUGCAACUGUUUAUUAAAAACACAGCACUGUGCAAACACGAAAGUGGACGUAUACGGUGUGACGCCUGCCCGGUGCCGGAAGGUUAAUUGAUGGGGUCAGCGCAAGCGAAGCUCUUGAUCGAAGCCCCGGUAAACGGCGGCCGUAACUAUAACGGUCCUAAGGUAGCGAAAUUCCUUGUCGGGUAAGUUCCGACCUGCACGAAUGGCGUAAUGAUGGCCAGGCUGUCUCCACCCGAGACUCAGUGAAAUUGAACUCGCUGUGAAGAUGCAGUGUACCCGCGGCAAGACGGAAAGACCCCGUGAACCUUUACUAUAGCUUGACACUGAACAUUGAGCCUUGAUGUGUAGGAUAGGUGGGAGGCUUAGAAGUGUGGACGCCAGUCUGCAUGGAGCCGACCUUGAAAUACCACCCUUUAAUGUUUGAUGUUCUAACGUUGACCCGUAAUCCGGGUUGCGGACAGUGUCUGGUGGGUAGUUUGACUGGGGCGGUCUCCUCCUAAAGAGUAACGGAGGAGCACGAAGGUUGGCUAAUCCUGGUCGGACAUCAGGAGGUUAGUGCAAUGGCAUAAGCCAGCUUGACUGCGAGCGUGACGGCGCGAGCAGGUGCGAAAGCAGGUCAUAGUGAUCCGGUGGUUCUGAAUGGAAGGGCCAUCGCUCAACGGAUAAAAGGUACUCCGGGGAUAACAGGCUGAUACCGCCCAAGAGUUCAUAUCGACGGCGGUGUUUGGCACCUCGAUGUCGGCUCAUCACAUCCUGGGGCUGAAGUAGGUCCCAAGGGUAUGGCUGUUCGCCAUUUAAAGUGGUACGCGAGCUGGGUUUAGAACGUCGUGAGACAGUUCGGUCCCUAUCUGCCGUGGGCGCUGGAGAACUGAGGGGGGCUGCUCCUAGUACGAGAGGACCGGAGUGGACGCAUCACUGGUGUUCGGGUUGUCAUGCCAAUGGCACUGCCCGGUAGCUAAAUGCGGAAGAGAUAAGUGCUGAAAGCAUCUAAGCACGAAACUUGCCCCGAGAUGAGUUCUCCCUGACCCUUUAAGGGUCCUGAAGGAACGUUGAAGACGACGACGUUGAUAGGCCGGGUGUGUAAGCGCAGCGAUGCGUUGAGCUAACCGGUACUAAUGAACCGUGAGGCUUAACCUU